UACAUGGGGUGCAAACGUUGCUCGGAAUUAUUGGGCGUAAAGCGCGCGUAGGCGGUCGCUUAAGUCGGAUGUGAAAGCCCUUGGCUUAACCGAGGAAGUGCAUCCGAAACUGAGCAGCUAGAGUACGAAAGAGGGUCGCGGAAUUCCCGGUGUAGAGGUGAAAUUCGUAGAUAUCGGGAGGAACACCGGUGGCGAAGGCGGCGACCUGGGUCGAGACUGACGCUGAGGCGCGAAAGCGUGGGGAGCAAACAGG
rnacentral:rRNA from 1 species